rnacentral:sRNA from 1 species
UGGACCCAGCCUCGUGGGAGCCCCGCGGGUCCUGCCCAGAUGUGGAAGACUGAGGCCUGUUGAAAGUGCAGAGCUCAGCCCUGGCACCUUCUGUCCUCAAGAGCUCCAUGCAGGUGCCACAGGAUGGAGAAGACCUUGUUGGCCAACCCUGGUACCACGGCCUCCUGUCCCGCCAGGAGCCUCCACCACGCCCGUAUCUGCCUUGCCCCGAACGAGCAGUGACCCUGUGUUGCUGAAGGCCCCUGCUUCCCUGGGAACUGUUGCCGACAGUCUCAGGGCCUCCAAUGGGCAGCUUCAAGCCAAGGCACCAACGAAGCCCCCCCGGACACCCUCCUUCGAACUGCCUGAUGCCUCUGAACGUCCCCCAACGUACUGCGAGCUGGUGCCCCGAGUGCCCAGUGUCCAGGGAACAUCCCCGAGCCAAAGCUGCCCAGAGCCAGAGGCCCCAUGGUGGGAGGCCGAGGAAGAUGAGGAGGAAGAGAAUAGAUGUUUUACAAGACCACAGGCUGAGAUCUCUUUCUGCCCCCGAGAUGCCCCCUCCUGCCUGCUGGGGCCCCAGAAUCGGCCCCUGGAACCCCAAGUCCUG